rnacentral:rRNA from 1 species
GAUGAACGCUGGCGGCGUGCCUAAUACAUGCAAGUCGAGCGAACGGACGAGAAGCUUGCUUUUCUGAUGUUAGCGGCGGACGGGUGAGUAACACGCGGAUAACCUACCUAUAAGACUGGGAUAACUUCGGGAAACCGGAGCUAAUACCGGAUAAUAUUUUGAACCGCAUGGUUCAAAAGUGAAAGACGGUCUUGCUGUCACUUAUGGAUGGAUCCGCGCUGCAUUAGCUAGUUGGUAAGGUAACGGCUUACCAAGGCAACGAUGCAUAGCCGACCUGAGAGGGUGAUCGGCCACACUGGAACUGAGACACGGUCCAGACUCCUACGGGAGGCAGCAGUAGGGAAUCUUCCGCAAUGGGCGAAAGCCUGACGGAGCAACGCCGCGUGAGUGAUGAAGGUCUUCGGAUCGUAAAACUCUGUUAUUAGGGAAGAACAUAUGUGUAAGUAACUGUGCACAUCUUGACGGUACCUAAUCAGAAAGCCACGGCUAACUACGUG